rnacentral:SRP_RNA from 1 species
GGGCGGGCUCUGUGCGGCCGGGCGCCGCGAACCAUGUCAGGCGGGGAACCGAGCAGCAUUAAACGGAUUGCCGGGUGCGAUGCAGGUUUGUCUGUUCGUC